UACGUAGGGUGCGAGCGUUGUCCGGAAUUAUUGGGCGUAAAGAGCUCGUAGGCGGUUUGUCGCGUCUGCUGUGAAAGACCGGGGCUCAACUCCGGUUCUGCAGUGGGUACGGGCAGACUAGAGUGAUGUAGGGGAGACUGGAAUUCCUGGUGUAGCGGUGAAAUGCGCAGAUAUCGGGAGGAACACCGAUGGCGAAGGCAGGUCUCUGGGCAUUAACUGACGCUGAGGAGCGAAAGCAUGGGGAGCGAACAGG
rnacentral:rRNA from 1 species